rnacentral:rRNA from 1 species
GAUGAACGCUAGCGGCAGGCUUAAUACAUGCAAGUCGAGGGACAGCACAGGUAGCAAUACUGGGUGGUAACCGGCAAACGGGUGCGGAACACGUACGCAACCUUCCUCUAAGUGGGGGAUAGCCCAGAGAAAUUUGGAUUAAUACCCCGUAAUAUAGUUGAAUGGCAUCAUUUGAUUAUUAUAGCUACGGCGCUUAAUGAUGGGUGUGCUGCUGAUUAGAUAGUUGGCGGGGUAACGGCCCACCAAGUCUACGAUCAGGAGCUGAUGUGAGAGCAUGAUCAGCAACACGGGCACUGAGACACGGGCCCGACUCCUACGGGAGGCAGCAGUAAGGAAUAUUGGUCAAUGACGCAAGUCUGAACCAGCCAUGCCGCGUGAAGGAUUAAGGUCCUCUGGAUUGUAAACUUCUUUUAUUUGGGACGAAAAAGGGCCUUUCUAGGUCAACUGACGGUACCAGAUGAAUAAGCACCGGCUAACUCCGUGCCAGCCGCCGCAGUAAAAC